UACGUAGGGUGCAAGCGUUUGUCCGGAAUUAUUGGGCGUAAAGAGCUCGUAGGCGGUUUGUUGCGUCGGCUGUGAAAUCCCGAGGCUCAACCUCGGGUCUGCAGUCGAUACGAGCAAACUAGAGUGUUGCAGGGGAGACUGGAAUUCCUGGUGUAGCGGUGAAAUGCGCAGAUAUCAGGAGGAACACCGGUGGCGAAGGCGGGUCUCUGGGCCGUAACUGACGCUGGAGGAGCGAAAGCCAUGGGGAGCGAAACAGGG
rnacentral:rRNA from 1 species